CCUACGGGAGGCAGCAGUGAGGAAUAUUGGUCAAUGGGCGCGAGCCUGAACCAGCCAAGUCGCGUGAGGGAGGACGGCCCUACGGGUUGUAAACCUCUUUUGCCGGGGAGCAACGGGCAUCACGUGUGGCGCCACUGAGAGUACCCGGAGAAAAAGCAUCGGCUAACUCCGUGCCAGCAGCCGCGGUAAUACGGAGGAUGCGAGCGUUAUCCGGAUUUAUUGGGUUUAAAGGGUGCGUGGGCGGAUAGUUAAGUCAGUGGUAAAAUUGAGGGGCUCAACCCCUUCCCGCCAUUGAAACUGGCGCUCUUGAGUGGAAGAGAAGUAUGCGGAAUGCGUGGUGUAGCGGUGAAAUGCAUAGAUAUCACGCAGAACCCCGAUUGCGAAGGCAGCAUGCCGGCUUCCGACUGACGCUGAAGCACGAAAGCGUGGGGAUCGAACAGGAUUAGAUACCCCAGUAGUC
rnacentral:rRNA from 1 species